AACGCACAUUGCGCCCGCCAGUAUUCUGGCGGGCAUGCCUGUUCGAGCGUCAUUUCAACCCUCAGGCCCCCAGUGCCUGGCGUUGGGGAUCGGCCCAGCGCGCGAAAGCGCGCCGCCGGCCCCGAAACUCAGUGGCGGUCUCGCUGUAGCCCUCCUCCGCGUAGUAGCACAACCUCGCGGCCUGGAGCUCGGCGGUGGCCAUGCCGUAAAACACCCCACUUCUGAAAGUUGACCUCGGAUCAGGUAGGAAUACCCGCUGAACUUAA
rnacentral:misc_RNA from 1 species